rnacentral:rRNA from 1 species
GACGGAGGGUGCUAGCGUUGUUCGGAAUGACUGGGCGUAAAGGGCGCGUAGGCGGCUUUUCAAGUCGGGUGUGAAAGCCCGGGGCUCAACCCCGGAACGGCAUCCGAUACUGGGAGGCUUGAGACCGGGAGAGGAGGGUGGAAUAUCCAGUGUAGAGGUGAAAUUCGUAGAUAUUGGAUGGAACACCAGUGGCGAAAGCGGCUCUCUGGCCCGGAUCUGACGCUGAGGCGCGAAAGCGUGGGGAGCAAACAGG